CUUACUUUAUGUUUAUGUUAAAUGUCUAUGUCCAGUAUAUAUGUUCUGUGAUGGCGGCCAUGGUUUAAUAAAUUAUAUUUGAACUUUUUGGGUCUAAGGGUCUAAUCAAUUCACUAAUAAGAGAAAAGACCAUCCUUUUUUAACUUUUUUUCUGUACAUUUAAAAUGUGUAUUCAUUAAUUCAUUGACGAUUCAGGUUAACGAAAACACAAAAAAGUUGAAAAGGAAAAAUAUGUCUGGUGACUUUUGAAUUCUCACCUUCUUCCAUAGAGAGGGUUCCGAGGCCAAACAGGAAGUGGCCGCAACCAUCCAGCAGUUACCCAGACUGCCCUGGUGCAGGUCCCGAGUGCUGAUGCCAUCCACGAACAGACGAGGGUCCUUACACAGUUCCUGAGGAGAGACAAGGAGAGAAAAAUAAAGGAUUUGAGCAAUUGAAGCCUUGUUUGGGAGCAGUGAGGACAAGACAGAUCCUGUCCUCAUGGACCUGUUGAUCUUACUCUUGACAUUCGGACUAUCAGCUAGCACAAUACCUGCUCUGGAAGACCCGUAGGCUUCUCCUCACUCUCCGAGCAGGAAGGAACUCACAGAGCCCAGGCAACCGACACGGGCUCGCAAGCUGUCGCUCGCUUCAGUACUUGACGAGCAUUACUGUCCACCAGGUUCCUGUCAAAGGAGGUUGAUG